AAUCAACGCUGGCGGCGUGCCUCAGACAUGCAAGUCGAACGCGAAAGUCCCCCCUCGGGGGGACAAGUAGAGUGGCGCACGGGUGAGUAACACGUAGGUAAUCUACCUUCGGGUGGGGAAUAACAAUCGGAAACGGUUGCUAAUACCGCAUAAUGCAGCGGCACCUAAUGGUGACAGUUGGUUAAAGCGGGGGGAUCGCAAGAUCUCGCGCCUGAGGAGGAGCCUGCGGCGGAUAGGCUAGUUGGUAGGGUAAUGGCCUACCAAGGCGACGAUCCGUAGCCGGCCUGAGAGGGCGGUCGGCC
rnacentral:rRNA from 1 species